rnacentral:rRNA from 1 species
GAUGAACGCUGGCGGCGUGCCUAAUACAUGCAAGUCGAGCGAACAGACGAGGAGCUUGCUCCUCUGACGUUAGCGGCGGACGGGUGAGUAACACGUGGAUAACCUACCUAUAAGACUGGGAUAACUUCGGGAAACCGGAGCUAAUACCGGAUAAUAUAUUGAACCGCAUGGUUCAAUAGUGAAAGACGGUAUUGCUGUCACUUUAGGUGGGACCCGCGCCGAAUUAGCUAGUUGGUAAGGUAACGGCUUACCAAGGCAACGAUGCGUAGCCGACCUGAGAGGGUGAUCGGCCACACUGGAACUGAGACACGGUCCAGACUCCUACGGGAGGCAGCAGUAGGGAAUCUUCCGCAAUGGGCGAAAGCUUGACGGAGCAACGCCGCGUGAGUGAUGAAGGUCUUCGGAUCGUAAAACUCUGUUAUUAGGGAAGAACAAAUGUGUAAGUAACUAUGCACGUCUUGACGGUACCUAAUCAGAAAGCCACGGCUAACUACGUG